ACUCAUAGAUGCCAAUUCACAGUUUUAGCCUUGUAAAAGACUCUGAAGCAUCUACAGAUCUUGUACACACAUGGCUUAGAUUACAAGCCCUGAGUCUGGCUGGAUCCAAAAACCUGAAGUACCCUCUACAAAUCUUACAAGGGAGCAGAACAGUAUGAAACCAAGCUUACACCUUAACAAAGGAAUAAGACCAUGUAAUUUUGUGACCUCUAAAUAUGAUCAGCAGAUAUGAAUCCACUCUGGGUAGCAAAUUGGGCACUUUCUUGAGGGGGGGGGGUAUUGGGAUCAAAGGAAGGGGAGAAGAACAAAUGGGCAGGGGCAAAGGAAUGAAUCAGAAUCUUCUAAUGGAUGCCAUGGUUACGGUUGUCUGGGUAACCACAGCACACAUGCUUUUCUCCGCACCAAGAGCUGGGAGUGAAUGACAAUUUGGAAAGCAGCAGCCCAGAAGAAAUCUAGGAGGCCUUAAAGAAGAUUGAUAGGAAAAUCAAUGCCUUAUGAACAAAACAACAACAGUGUCAGAAGGAAGCUUUGCAGCAAGAAGCAACUGAACAAACAGAAGAAAAAGAAAUCAGCCAGAGUGUGUGCACCGAAGGAACGUGGUUUCAAGCCAUCAGCCAGGGGUGUCCAGCUCACUGCGUCCUAGUUAAAUCCGUAAUUUAAGCUCUCAGAUCAGUUUUGGUUCUGGGCUCAGUCUGGAACGUGUGAUUUUUUUUGGUGGGAAUAUUUUUAAUGAAAUGGAGAGACCUGGACCAGAGCUGAGCUGUCCAAAUACUAAGCCUACUUGGACAAACUAUUGUCUUGAAAAUUACAGAUCACAGAGUAAAUUUGAGUGUAAAAUAAGGGUGUUUCCGUAUGAGCCACUUAGACUCCUUGGAUGAGGCACAGAAUGGAAGGAUAAAUAGACACAUAGAUCAAUAGAUCAAUGGAGAACCAGAAUCCAUCUUAAUAAUUACCAGGUGAUAAGCUUAGUUUUCUAUUCCAAGGAGGCUUGCUUACCCUCGCCUGUUUUGUGAAAUAAUUUUGGACUGGAAAUAUGCAAGUGCUAUGCACAUAUGGAAAUAGAUGGAAAUGACUCCCAGUGCUUCUUAUGGUCUGCUACACAUGUGGAUAUUUCUUUGGCCCCAAAGUUUCCAAGUUUAGCCACUUGUGCUGUUUAUGGAAAAACUAGAAAAGCUGUCCUUGUCCUGCCAGAGAAGGAAGCAGCCUGGCAAUGUACACACAUUCUUACUUUCAAAAUAUGUUCCAUCAGUGGUUGCUGGUGGCUUUCAUUUUAUUUGAUAUUCUUUUUUGAGGUGUCAAUUUUAUUUAUUUAUUUUAUUAUUUUGCCCCACUCCUUCCCUCCGCCUAUCUCCUUGGACAUACAGUUUGUACAAUAAACUACAGAAAUUACAU